rnacentral:rRNA from 1 species
UACAGAGGUCUCAAGCGUUGUUCGGAUUCAUUGGGCGUAAAGGGUGCGUAGGCGGCGCGGUAAGUCGGGUGUGAAAUCUCGGAGCUUAACUCCGAAACUGCAUUCGAUACUGCCGUGCUUGAGGACUGGAGAGGAGACUGGAAUUUACGGUGUAGCGGUGAAAUGCGUAGAGAUCAGGAGGAACACCCGUGGCGAAGGCGGCUCCCUGGUCCGUCCCUGACGCUGAGACGCGAAAGCGCGGGGAGCGAACGGG